CAGUCGCCGCGGUAAAACGUAGGUGGCAAGCGUUGUCCGGAAUUAUUGGGCGUAAAGGGCUCGCAGGCGGUUUCUUAAGUCUGAUGUGAAAGCCCCCGGCUCAACCGGGGAGGGUCAUUGGAAACUGGGAAACUUGAGUGCAGAAGAGGAGAGUGGAAUUCCACGUGUAGCGGUGAAAUGCGUAGAGAUGUGGAGGAACACCAGUGGCGAAGGCGACUCUCUGGUCUGUAACUGACGCUGAGGAGCGAAAGCGUGGGGAGCAAAUGGGAUUAGAUACCCCGGUAGUCCCUGUCUCUUAUAC
rnacentral:rRNA from 1 species